GCGCAAAUUACCCACUCCCGGCACGGGGAGGUAGUGACGAAAAAUAACGAUACGGGACUCAUCCGAGGCCCCGUAAUCGGAAUGAGCACACUUUAAACCCUUUAACGAGUAUCCAUUGGAGGGCAAGUCUGGUGCCAGCAGCCGCGGUAAUUCCAGCUCCAAUAGCGUAUAUUAAAGUUGUUGCGGUUAAAAAGCUCGUAGUUGGAUGUGUGUCUCACGCUGUCGGUUCACCGUUCGUCGGUGUUUAACUGGCAUGCCCGUGUGGACGUCCUGCCGGUGGAUGCGGUCGGCCGUGGGCUUCGGUCUGCGUGUCGGCGGUCCGAUGCAAUCCUACCGCGGUGCUCUUCACCGAGUGUCGAGGUGGGCCGGCACGUUUACUUUGAACAAAUUAGAGUGCUUAAAGCAGGCAGUGGUUCGCCUGAAUAUUGUGUGCAUGGAAUAAUGGAAUAGGACCUCGGUUCUAUUUUGUUGGUUUACGGAACUUGAGGUAAUGAUUAAUAGGGACAAAUGGGGGCAUUCGUAUUGCGACGUUAGAGGUGAAAUUCUUGGAUCGUCGCAAGACGAACCUAAGCGAAAGCAUUUGCCAUAAGUGUUUUCAUUAAUCAAGAACGAAAGUUAGAGGUUCGAAGGCGAUCAGAUACCGCCCUAGUUCUAACCAUAAACGAUGCCAGCUAGCGAUCCGCCGAAGUUCCUCCGAUGACUCGGCGGGCAGCUUCCGGGAAACCAAAGCUUUUGGGUUCCGGGGGAAGUAUGGUUGCAAAGCUGAAACUUAAAGGAAUUGACGGAAGGGCACCACCAGGAGUGGAGCCUGCGGCUUAAUUUGACUCAACACGGGAAACCUCACCAGGCCCGGACACCGGAAGGAUUGACAGAUUGAGAGCUCUUUCUUGAUUCGGUGGAUGGUGGUGCAUGGCCGUUCUUAGUUGGUGGAGCGAUUUGUCUGGUUAAUUC
rnacentral:rRNA from 1 species